UAGGGAAUCUUCCGCAAUGGGCGAAAGCUUGACGGAGCAACGCCGCGUGAGUGAUGAAGGUCUUCGGAUCGUAAAACUCUGUUAUUAGGGAAGAACAAAUGUGUAAGUAACUAUGCACGUCUUGACGGUACCUAAUCAGAAAGCCACGGCUAACUACGUGCCAGCAGCCGCGGUAAUACGUAGGUGGCAAGCGUUAUCCGGAAUUAUUGGGCGUAAAGCGCGCGUAGGCGGUUUUUUAAGUCGGAUGUGAAAGCCCACGGCUCAACCGUGGAGGGUCAUUGGAAACUGGAAAACUUGAGUGCAGAAGAGGAAAGUGGAAUUCCAUGUGUAGCGGUGAAAUGCGCAGAGAUAUGGAGGAACACAAGUGGCGAAGGCGACUUUCUGGUCUGUAACUGACGCUGAUGUGCGAAAGCGUGGGGAUCAAACAGG
rnacentral:rRNA from 1 species